ACAGGAACUGGGAUUGUUGAUUGUUUACGGAACAGGUAUUUUAUAGUGGACCUCCAGGAAGAAUUAAAAAAAAAAAAAAGCUGCCAAAUUUAAUUAUUCCAGAUAAUUCCGGCGCGAAACUGGAUAAUCGCCCCCAAACAGAUGACUCAAGGGGGCUUGGAACGUUCGCCUUCCUUUGCGCGGAGUGGCCCGGCGCAGCUGUGGGAGGUUCCUCGCGGGGCGCUCCGCCCGCCCUCCUCCAAUCAGAAGUCGAGCAGGCCUCCCGAGGCGCUCGCCUGCAUUUCCAUUCAUCUCCCGCAGGAGACAGGAGCCGCGCACGUGCCGGCGAGUCCCUCUCGAGAGCCCAGCAAAGGCGGACGAGCGCGAGGGCGGGAAAAAGCUCGCGGGCGGCCUGGGCGAGCGACGUCUUUCCCGGGAGUCGCUCCGCGCCCCCUCAGGGGACUUUCCCGCCCAGUGUCUCUUGGGCUGCGCGCGGCGAGUCUGUGCAGCUCCCGCGCCUUUUUUUUUUUUAUGGCGCUAGGACCCAGGCGAGUCUGUCUCUCGUGAGUCAGUUGCCGCAACAGCAGCGGCGGCUCGGUCGGAGUUGAGCGAGAGCGCCGUGGAUGAGGCUGCGGCGCGCGCGCGAAGUGAAUGGCUCGCGUGCGUUGGGAAAGUGGCCACGGAGCGAGGCGCUCGAGGAUCCCGUGCGUGAGCCUGCGCGACGGCGCCUAUAGCGGCGGCAGCAGCAGCAGCGGCAGCAGCAGCUCCUAGGGGGGCCUCUCUCCACCUGCCCGCGGUCGCAGCGCUGAGAACCAUAAUCAAAGAUGGAAGAGACCUCAAAGAUCAUGUAAUCCAAUCCCCCCACUGAUGCAAGACACUCACUACUACAGCAUUGCUGACUGGAGAUGAUGUAACUCAGCAAUUGCAAAAACUACUGAGAUUCCCUUGCAAGUAUGUGUGGGGAAAGCUAGAUGCAAGACAGGACUGCAGAUGAGUAAAAAAAUAAAUAAUCUGACCUCAGGAAGAGAAUAUGGAGCUGUGCGGUCCCCGAAGCAUGCCUGAGAAAAUUUACUUCCAGAUUCCUCCAGUGAAUUCAAUUGGAGGAAAGUUCAGGGCAGCCCAAAGGAAGUACUUUGUGACACAGGGCACAAUUAAUUUAUAGCACUCACUGCCACCAGGUGAGGUAACAGCCACUCCUUCAGAUGGCUUGGAGAGGGGGUUACAGAAAUUAAUGGAGGAUUUUGCUGGUGGUUUAAUUCUUUUCAUAAAGUGCUUUUAGGUUUAACUUUGUUUUGUUUUUACAAACACGUGGUAUAUGAAUUUUGUGAAAUAAAUAAAAUGAGACUAUGGCUAAAAACCCCUCUACGUACAAGUUGCAGGGGAGCAACAACAGGAGUGAGCAAUUGUCUUUUGCCCUGCUUAUGGGCUUCGAGAACACAUCUCAUUGGCCACUGUUAUAAACAGGGUGCUAAAUUAUAUGGAUUUUUAGUCUGUUCCAGGAGCUCUUGUGUUCUCUAUAGAAACUUGCACUGAAUUUCAUAAAUAGCCCAGAGUUUGAAUACCUGAAUAAUUAAUUUGAUUUUGAAUUUAUGUAAAUCCAUAUGUUGCUUCAGAAUGCUCACAUGAUGUGUGUGUGUGUGUGGUUGUUUUUUUUUUUUAAUUUUUACCUUUUUAUGUUACCUAUUUAUUUUAUAAAGGGCUAAAACAACAAUCAGGAAUUUUAACCAAAACCUGCUUAAGAAAAUCAAGUCACACUAGUUGUGUCCUGUAAACCACUCAAAGUUUUAUUUUU